AUGGUGGUGGUGGUGCUGGUGCCCUCUUCCCCAUCCCGCCGCCGCACAAAGCCAGCCAGCGUCGCCUACCCACAGAUCUCGCUGGGCGAGGCGGAGGCGGAGCCUGACCUCCAGCUCCCAAGCCCUCUGCUACAAGUCGACGAGGGGCGGCCGCUAACCCCUCUGUUCGGCACCGGCCCCAGGCCCUCUUCCACCGUCGCCCCACAAGCGCUGCAGCCUUCGUCCAUGGCGAUCUUGGAAGAAAUUUCGGCCAAGUCCGUUAUGCUGCUGAAAAUUGAUGUGACAAAAGGAGACAAGGCAUGA
rnacentral:rRNA from 1 species